rnacentral:tRNA from 1 species
GGAGCUGUUUUUAUGAAUGCCUGCCGGCUGUCACGCCGGAGGCCGCGAGUUCGAGUCUCGUCGGCUCCG